GAUGAACGCUGGCGGCGUGCCUAAUACAUGCAAGUCGAGCGAACAGACGAGGAGCUUGCUCCUCUGACGUUAGCGGCGGACGGGUGAGUAACACGUGGAUAACCUACCUAUAAGACUGGGAUAACUUCGGGAAACCGGAGCUAAUACCGGAUAAUAUAUUGAACCGCAUGGUUCAAUAGUGAAAGACGGUUUUGCUGUCACUUAUAGAUGGAUCCGCGCCGCAUUAGCUAGUUGGUAAGGUAACGGCUUACCAAGGCAACGAUGCGUAGCCGACCUGAGAGGGUGAUAGGCCACCCUGGAACUGAGACACGGUCCAGACUCCUACGGGAGGCAGCAGUAGGGAAUCUUCCGCAAUGGGCGAAAGCCUGACGGAGCAACGCCGCGUGAGUGAUGAAGGUCUUCGGAUCGUAAAACUCUGUUAUUAGGGAAGAACAAAUGUGUAAGUAACUAUGCACGUCUUAACGGUACCUAAUCAGAAAGCCACGGCUAACUACGUG
rnacentral:rRNA from 1 species